rnacentral:rRNA from 1 species
GGUCAGGCUUGGGGGAUUCUUCUACCAUCCUUGUUUUUGAGCACCUCUGUUUCCUCGGCAGGUUCGCCUGCCACGGGGACUUUUCAAACACCUUGCAGUAGCAGUUUUUGUCUGAAAUACAAGCAAACAAUCAAAACUUUCAACAACGGAUCUCUUGGUUCUGGCAUCGAUGAAGAACGCAGCGAAAUGCGAUAAGUAGUGUGAAUUGCAGAAUUCAGUGAAUCAUCGAAUCUUUGAACGCACAUUGCGCCUCGUGGUAUUCCGCGAGGCAUGCCUGUUCGAGCGUCAUUGACACCUUCAAGCCUAGCUUGGUCUUGGGCGUCUUGUCUCUGCCUCUGCGCAGAGACUCGCCUUAAAAUCAUUGGCAGCCUGCCUUUGCCGGCCUACGCACAGCACAGUCGUGCCAAAGCCGUGGCGAGCAGGCGCUCCACAAGCCUUUUUAUCAACUUGACCUCGGAUCAGGUAGGAAUACCCGC